UACGUAGGGCCCAAGCAUUAUCCGGAAUUACUGGGCGUAAAGGGUGCGUAGGUGUUCUAACAAGUCGGUCGUUAAAUCUCACUGCUUAACAGUGAGGCCGCGAGCGAUACUGUUAGAAUUGAGUCUUUCAGGGGCAAGCAGAAUUCUUGGAGUAGGGGUGAAAUCCGUUGAUACCAAGAGGAAUACCAACGGCGAAGGCAGCUUGCUAGGGAAUGACUGACACUGAGGCACGAAAGCGUGGGGAGCAAACGGG
rnacentral:rRNA from 1 species